rfam:Rattus norvegicus chromosome 6, whole genome shotgun sequence.
GGGGAUUUAGCUUAGUGGUAGAGCACUUACCUAGCAAGCACAAGGCCCUGGGUUCGGUCCCCAGCCCCG